UACAGAGGGUGCAAACGUUGUUCGGAAUUACUGGGCGUAAAGCGCGUGUAGGCGGCUCGAUAAGUCGGAUGUGAAAGCCCUGGGCUCAACCUAGGAAGUGCAUUCGAAACUGCUGAGCUUGAGUUCUGGAGAGGAAGGCGGAAUUCUCGGUGUAGAGGUGAAAUUCGUAGAUAUCGAGAGGAACACCGGUGGCGAAGGCGGCCGUCUGGACAGCAACUGACGCUGAGACGCGAAAGCGUGGGGAGCAAACAGG
rnacentral:rRNA from 1 species